GUGCUCACUUUGGCAGCACAUAUACUAAAAUGGGAAUGACACAGAGAUUAGCAUGGCCCCUGUGCAAGGAUAACACCAAAUUUGUGAAGCAUUCCAUUGAAAG